CAGUAGCGUGUAUUAAAGUUGUUGCAGUUAAAAAGCUCGUAGUUGGACGUCUGUUGGAAUAUUGAACCUCCGGGUUCAGAUUCCGGCAUCCGCCUGAACAGCAUUACAUAGAAUUUGUUUUCUGGUAAUGUGAGCAGGCCUUUUACCUUGAGGAAACUAGAGUGUUUAAAGCAGGCAGUUGCUCGUAUACCGCAGCUGGGAAUAAUGCAAUACGACCGGAGUCUCUUGCUUGGCGGAUAGACUUUGGUAAUGAUUAAUAGGAACAGUUGGGGGCAUUCGUACUCAGUAGUCAGAGGUGAAAUUCUUGGAUUUGUUGAAGACGGACUAGUGCGAAAGCAUUUGCCAAGGAUGUUUNCAUUAA
rnacentral:rRNA from 1 species